rnacentral:rRNA from 1 species
UACGUAGGGGGCUAGCGUUGUCCGGAUUUAUUGGGCGUAAAGAGCGUGUAGGCGGCCAGGUAGGUCUGCUGUGAAAACUCGAGGCUUAACCUCGAGAUGUCGGCGGAAACCAUCUGGCUAGAGUCCGGAAGAGGAGAGUGGAAUUCCUGGUGUAGCGGUGAAAUGCGCAGAUAUCAGGAAGAACACCCGUGGCGAAGGCGGUUCUCUGGGACGGUACUGACGCUGAGACGCGAAAGCGUGGGGAGCGAACAGG